rnacentral:rRNA from 1 species
UACGUAGGGUCCGAGCGUUAAUCGGAAUUACUGGGCGUAAAGCGUGCGCAGGCGGUUUUGUAAGUCUGUCGUGAAAGCCCCGGGCUCAACCUGGGAAUUGCGAUGGAGACUGCAAGGCUUGAAUCUGGCAGAGGGGGGUAGAAUUCCACGUGUAGCAGUGAAAUGCGUAGAGAUGUGGAGGAACACCGAUGGCGAAGGCAGCCCCCCUGGGUCAAGAUUGACGCUCAUGCACGAAAGCGUGGGGAGCAAACAGG